rnacentral:rRNA from 1 species
AGUCUAGCAUGUGCGCGAGUCAUUGGGACUCAAUAAACCUAAAGGCGCAAUGAAAGUGAAAGUCUGUUUACGCGGACUUAGGGAGGAUAGGUGCGUACACUUGUGUACAACCUCGCACUCCCGGGGCGUCUCGCACUCAUUGCGAGGUGGGGCGCACCAAGAGCGUACACGCUGGGACCCGAAAGAUGGUGAACUAUGCCUGGUCAGGACGAAGUCAGGGGAAACCCUGAUGGAGGUCCGUAGCGAUUCUGACGUGCAAAUCGAUCGUCGGAACUGGGCUUAGGGGCGAAAGACUAAUCGAACCAUCUAGUAGCUGGUUCCCACCGAAGUUUCCCUCAGGAUAGCUGGCACUAGAUUAUGGAUGAGUCUCAUCCGGUAAAGCGAAUGAUUAGAGGCAUUGGGGUCGAAACGGCCUCAACCUAUUCUCAAACUUUAAAUGGGUGAGAUCUCCGGCUUGCUCGAUUUGUGAAGCCGGAGAUCGGAUCAAUUAGUGCCAAGUGGGCCACUUUUGGUAAGCAGAACUGGCGCUGUGGGAUGAACCAAACGCAGAGUUAAAGCGCCAAAAUCGACGCUUAUGGGAUACCAUGAAAGGCGUUGGUAACUUAA